UACGUAGGGGGCAAGCGUUGUCCGGAUUUACUGGGCGUAAAGAGCUCGUAGGCGGUCUGUCACGUCGGCUGUGAAAACCCGAGGCUCAACCUCGGGCCUGCAGUCGAUACGGGCAAACUAGAGUACUGCAGGGGAGACUGGAAUUCCUGGUGUAGCGGUGAAAUGCGCAGAUAUCAGGAGGAACACCGGUGGCGAAGGCGGGUCUCUGGGCAGUAACUGACGCUGAGGAGCGAAAGCGUGGGGAGCGAACAGG
rnacentral:rRNA from 1 species